GAUGAACGCUGGCGGCGUGCCUAAUACAUGCAAGUCGAGCGAACAGACGAGGAGCUUGCUCCUCUGACGUUAGCGGCGGACGGGUGAGUAACACGUGGAUAACCUACCUAUAAGACUGGGAUAACUUCGGGAAACCGGAGCUAAUACCGGAUAAUAUAUUGAACCGCAUGGUUCAAUAGUGAAAGACGGUUUUGCUGUCACUUAUAGAUGGAUCCGCGCCGCAUUAGCUAGUUGGUAAGGUAACGGCUUACCAAGGCGACGAUGCGUAGCCGACCUGAGAGGGUGAUCGGCCACACUGGAACUGAGACACGGUCCAGACUCCUACGGGAGGCAGCAGUAGGGAAUCUUCCGCAAUGGGCGAAAGCCUGACGGAGCAACGCCGCGUGAGUGAUGAAGGUCUUCGGAUCGUAAAACUCUGUUAUUAGGGAAGAACAAAUGUGGAAGUAGCUAUGCACGUCUUGACGGUACCUAAUCAGAAAGCCACGGCUAACUACGUG
rnacentral:rRNA from 1 species